GUUAUGGUUUCAAAUUCUGAAAGAUUAGCUCAUUGCUGGAAAUAAUAUGUGUAAUGUUGAAGCAAUGCUAGAUUACAAAAUUUUAUCAUUAAUUAACAAUUAAACACACAAAGAUUGAGCAGUUGUUCUCAUCAGAAACAUCUACCAGGAACUUACGGGGGGUCAUGAGACAGCUCUGCAGCAAGCAGGGAAGAGAAGAAAUGCUUCUUGCCCUUGCAGAGUUGUGAGAGGGCACACUUGCUAUGUCACACAAUAUUAGGGAUGCAGGUAGAAAAAAACAAAGAACCACAUAAAUCACCGGGUAUCUGGUCUCAGCCUCUGACAGUGUCACAUAAAGCAGGAAAGCUACAAGAUUUGGAACAACACAGCUUAUAGAUGAAAGUUGGAGGCAUUUAAUUUACUGGAAAACACAGGAGGAAAGGACCAAACACAUAAAAGAACAUUCAUUUUGAGAGAUGAGCAAAUUCAAUUGAGUUCAAGGGUAGGGCAAUGGUGACUUCUCAGCCACCUGCUAGGCACAUGACUGGGUUAAUAAAAGUGGGAGUCUGGGUUAAAAUGCCCCUUUAAAAGGCCCUGAACAACUGUUUGUCUAAGAAAGUCGAAACUAUGGAAGAAAAGGUGGUCAACUUCAGAGAGUAGAUUUAACUGCUGCAACUUGCUUCAACGUGGUUUAGCCAAGCGGAAACUUUUCUUCCAAGUGUAUGCUCUUUAACAUAUUUAAGAUGUCUUAAACAUCUUUCAGAAAUCGACUUUGCUACCAGUAUUAUACAGGUUAAUAUUUUUCAUAAAGCACAAACAGUGGAGGGCUAAUUUUUGGACUAUACUGCAUUUAUGAAGCAGAGCAAACCUCAUCUGCUUUCAUGACUUGAAUGGAGGAGAAUGGUUAGAAACUCUUAAACGAGGAGAGGAGAGGAAAGAAGAGGCAAGAGCAAGAGCAUACAGCAGACUGGCUGCUCCAGCUCGGCAGUGGUCUCACUAGACCCUGGAGUCCUGUCCAUGAAUGGGUUUGGACUUGCAGCCACCAGGCAAUGCCAGUGGAGAGGCAGCGCCAGGCUCCUACCAGCACUCACAUGGUUGGCAACGGAAUGAAAUCACCACAUUUAGCAAGGGCUGACGGCACUUUUCUUGGGUUUGCUAUGGGAGUAACCUUCUGUUUAAAUGUAUUACACAGAGCUCAUCUCUAACAAAAUCAUGUUCCUAUUUGGUUAACACUGUAAAUGGAAAUUCUAAACAGUGUGUGUUUACUCAAAAGUAGAAUCUAUACUUCUCAGACUGCUAUCCACUUGUGUGACCGUAAAGUCUUCAUAACUGGAGUGAAGAUGGGGCAGAGAGAGGCAGUAUUUAACAUCAAGAAGCCACACUGUUGUCACAAUUUUCAGCAAAGCUUAAGCAGAAAAUGUGUAUGUAAGGAACAAAAUGUCAAUGUUACUUUCAGUGUGAAUUUCUACCACUGAAAUUUUAAUUCAAUCCAAAAUAUUCCUCUGCACAUGAGUCAGAAGAAUGACCGAGAACUGAUGCUAUGUGAUGAUGAUGUUCACCACCUGGACUUCUUCCCAUCUGGCUCCCUGGAUCACCUCACAGCCCUUCCCUGGUCCCCAGAAUGUUUGCUUUUUGAUUAUAAGGCCAGAUGCAAGAGCAAAAACUUCCACCUAAAUCUGUAGCAUGUGGACAUCCAAAUGAAUAGAUACUUCAUUCUACUCACAGAUAUCAAAUUAAAUAUGUUAAAGAGAGCUAUUUUAGCAGUCUCAAUUAGUCUUCAAAAUGGAAAAGCUGCUUCUGUACUUAUGUAAAAUAUAAAAUGCUAUGUUAUACUAUUUGUUACUUCACAAAGUUUUUAACACAUCAUUUUAACACCUCCAAGUCUAUAAAUGUAUACUGCAGCACAAGCCAUAUUGAGCAUAUAUAAUCAAAAUUGAAUCCCAUAUUCCUGCAGCUCUCACCACCACCAAAGCUUGCCAUAUGGAGAAGACAUGGGGCGACCGUGGCCUAUGGAUAGAUGCUUAGAGGAUCUAACCUUCAUCCUGAGUAUGAGGGAGUUGGCAUUUGGAAAAGAGGAAGAAGGGGAAGCAGGCAAAUGUGGGGUUGGAGAGUGAGAAUGCUAAUGAAAUAGAAUAAAUAACAAGCUUGGAAGUGAAGGUCAGGCCAGUUUCCUAGAGCACUUUUCCAUUCUGUAUCCCGAGACUACGGAGACAGGAAGUAGAGAGAGCAGAUAAAUUCAUGACACUGUCUUCUCUGGGAUCAGACCCUGCCAUUCCGACUGCCCUAAUAUCUCUUCCUGGCUCCUCUCUCUUCUAGUAUUGUUCUCAGAUCAUGCUGGAUAUGCUGAAUAUAAACUAACUUUAUCAUCUUCUAGAGAUUCCAAUAAGAACUUUAGGUCAAUAACCUCCCACAUGCCUGUAUUUUGUUCUGAAGUUUCCUGAGGGCAAUAUUUUCAGCUCUUUAUUGGCCAAACCAAUUGGGUGAAUAAAAAGAACUUCAAUCU